rfam:Triticum aestivum genome assembly, contig: Triticum_aestivum_CS42_TGACv1_scaffold_502199_6BL
UUUGUACUCCCUCCAUCCCAAAAUUCUUGUCUUAAAUUUGUCUAAAUACGGAUGUAUCUAGUUACAUUUUAUUGUUAGAUACAUCCGUAUCUAAACAAAUGUAAGACAAGAAUUUUGGGACGAAGGGAAUACUAC